rnacentral:rRNA from 1 species
UAGGGAAUCUUCCGCAAUGGACGAAAGUCUGACGGAGCAACGCCGCGUGAGGGAAGAAGGAUUUCGGUGCGUAAAACUCUGUUGGUAGGGGAGAAAAAAUGUAUAGUAACUAUAUACAAAAGAGACGGUACCUAACCAGAAAGCCACGGCUAACGACGGGACAGGAGCCGCGGUAAUACGUAGGUGGCAAGCGUUGUCCGGAAGGAUUGGGCGUAAAGCGCGCGCAGGUGGUUAGGAAAGUCUGAUGUGAAAGCCCACGGCUCAACCGUGGAGGGUCAUUGGAUACUAAUAAACUUGAGUGCAGGUGAGAAAAGUGGAAUUCCUAGUGUAGCGGUGAAAUGCGUAGAGAUUACAAGGAACACCGGUGGCGAAAGCGGCUUUCUGGCCUGCAACUGACACUGAGGCGCGAAAGCGUGGGGAGCAAACAGG